rnacentral:rRNA from 1 species
AGAGUUUGAUCCUGGCUCAGGACGAACGCUGGCGGCGCGCCUAACACAUGCAAGUCGAACGGAGCUGAGAGGAGCUUGCUUUUCUUAGCUUAGUGGCGAACGGGUGAGUAACGCGUGAGUAACCUGCCCUGGAGUGGGGGACAACAGUUGGAAACGACUGCUAAUACCGCAUAAGCCCACGGUACCGCAUGGCACUGAGGGAAAAGGAUUUAUUCGCUUCAGGAUGGACUCGCGUCCAAUUAGCUAGUUGGUGAGGUAACGGCCCACCAAGGCGACGAUUGGUAGCCGGACUGAGAGGUUGAACGGCCACAUUGGGACUGAGACACGGCCCAGACUCCUACGGGAGGCAGCAGUGGGGGAUAUUGCACAAUGGGGGAAACCCUGAUGCAGCGACGCCGCGUGGAGGAAGAAGGUUUUCGGAUUGUAAACUCCUGUCGUUAGGGACGAUAAUGACGGUACCUAACAAGAAAGCACCGGCUAACUACGUGCCAGCAGCCGCGGUAAAACGUAGGGUGCAAGCGUUGUCCGGAAUUACUGGGUGUAAAGGGAGCGCAGGCGGACCGGCAAGUUGGAAGUGAAAACUAUGGGCUCAACCCAUAAAUUGCUUUCAAAACUGCUGGCCUUGAGUAGUGCAGAGGUAGGUGGAAUUCCCGGUGUAGCGGUGGAAUGCGUAGAUAUCGGGAGGAACACCAGUGGCGAAGGCGACCUACUGGGCACCAACUGACGCUGAGGCUCGAAAGCAUGGGUAGCAAACAGGAUUAGAUACCCUGGUAGUCCAUGCCGUAAACGAUGAUUACUAGGUGUUGGAGGAUUGACCCCUUCAGUGCCGCAGUUAACACAAUAAGUAAUCCACCUGGGGAGUACGACCGCAAGGUUGAAACUCAAAGGAAUUGACGGGGGCCCGCACAAGCAGUGGAGUAUGUGGUUUAAUUCGAAGCAACGCGAAGAACCUUACCAGGUCUUGACAUCC